rnacentral:rRNA from 1 species
GACGAACGCUGGCGGCGUGCCUAAUACAUGCAAGUAGAACGCUGAAGCUUGGUGCUUGCACCGAGCGGAUGAGUUGCGAACGGGUGAGUAACGCGUAGGUAACCUGCCUGGUAGCGGGGGAUAACUAUUGGAAACGAUAGCUAAUACCGCAUAAGAGUAGAUGUUGCAUGACAUUUGCUUAAAAGGUGCAAUUGCAUCACCACCAGAUGGACCUGCGUUGUAUUAGCUAGUUGGUGAGGUAACGGCCCACCAAGGCAACGAUACAUAGCCGACCUGAGAGGGUGAUCGGCCACACUGGGACUGAGACACGGCCCAGACUCCUACGGGAGGCAGCAGUAGGGAAUCUUCGGCAAUGGACGGAAGUCUGACCGAGCAACGCCGCGUGAGUGAAGAAGGUUUUCGGAUCGUAAAGCUCUGUUGUAAGAGAAGAACGAGUGUGAGAGUGGAAAGUUCACACUGUGACGGUAUCUUACCAGAAAGGGACGGCUAACUACGUG